AGCGAACGCUAGCGGCGGGCUUAACACAUGCAAGUCGAGCGGAGGGGCAACCCUUAGCGGCGGACGGGUGAGUAACACGUAGGUAACGUAUCCUCUGGUGGGGAAUAACCGUGGGAAACCAUGGCUAAUACCGCACAUCGUAUGAAAGUAUGAAAGCCCUUCGGGCGCCAGUUGAGCGGCCUGCGGCCCAUUAGUUAGUUGGCGGGGUAACGGCCCACCAAGACGAUGAUGGGUAGCUGGUCUGAGAGGAUGAUCAGCCACACUGGAACUGAGACACGGUCCAGACUCCUACGGGAGGCAGCAGUGGGGAAUAUUGCGCAAUAGC
rnacentral:rRNA from 1 species